UGUGAAUUCAGGCUACAAGACGACAGUUCUCUAAAAUGAGUCUCUCUGGGAAGAGAGAGGAGGGGGGCCCUGCCUCUAAAAUUAGACUCUCUGGGGGACAUGACACCAAAGCCAAGAGUGUUGGUCAGGACGUGAGCUGGGUGGGGAUUCUAUGUUGUGUGUCU